rnacentral:rRNA from 1 species
GAUGAACGCUGGCGGCGUGCCUAAUACAUGCAAGUCGAGCGAACGGACGAGAAGCUUGCUUCUCUGAUGUUAGCGGCGGACGGGUGAGUAACACGUGGAUAACCUACCUAUAAGACUGGGAUAACUUCGGGAAACCGGAGCUAAUACCGGAUAAUAUUUUGAACCGCAUGGUUCAAAAGUGAAAGACGGUCUUGCUGUCACUUAUAGAUGGAUCCGCGCUGCAUUAGCUAGUUGGUAAGGUAACGGCUUACCAAGGCAACGAUGCAUAGCCGACCUGAGAGGGGGAUCGGCCACACGGGAACUAGGACCCGGUCCAACUUCCUACGGGAGGCGGCGUAAGGGAAUCUUCCGAAAUGGGGGAAGGCCUGACGGAGCAACGCGGCGUGAGUGAUGAAGGCCUGCGGAUCGUAAAACUCUGUAUUAGGGAAGAACAUAUGUGUAAGUAACUGUGCACAUCUUGACGGUACCUAAUCAGAAAGCCACGGCUAACUACGUG